CAUACGUUCAAUUUGCUUGUUGAUGCUAUAUUUUUCAAAUAGCUUUUUUGUUUUUACCAUAAUGGUGAUCAAAGUGCACAUUGAUCAGAUAAACCAAGCCAACAACCAAUUAGUUGGGUUUUGUUAACUAUCAAACAGGUUUAGAUGUUAAAUGAGUCUGCAAAAAAUAGACUAAAUCCAGUGAUAAUAAUGUGAUUAUACAUUUAACUAAUUCAGAAUAGAUAAAAUGGUCAUGUACACUUGAGAUGUGUGGUUCUGGACCCAGUAGUUGGUUUAGUGAUUCUUAUUUGUUAGUCAUUGAUGUCAACAUGUCAAUGGCAGGUAAACUACCAA